CUAAGAAUAUAAGUAAUAUAACAUAUUAGACUAUUAGACUAUAGAGUAAUACUCUUAUGCUAUAUGACGACGCCCUGGUGUUAAUACAUACUUAAGCACAAUUUUGUUUUACUUCAGUUAAAAUAAUUAUUACAUUUAUUACGUUCCUAUUUUAUUUUUUCUUUAAAAUUGUUCUUUUUAAGUGCCAUCAUCCAUCACCAUGUUCAAACUAUUUGAUCUACAAAAACCUAGAUGGGUGUUAAUAGAGUUCUUGUACACGGGUUACAAUAAUAUAUUAACUAUAUACUAUACAAUAUCAUUUUAAUAUUACACCAUAGCUAUUUAUUAUUUGACGAUUACAUUAGAUUUCCAGCGAAUGUGGAACAGAGGCGCUUGUGGGUUUAUUCACUGAGGACCUAUCUGAGGACAAUGGUAUAAAUGCACAACAGAUUUAGGCCACCUCAAAGACAACUUUGAACUUUGAGUUUCAGACAUUUUGUUAAUAGUCAUGACUACAGCAGCGGAACACAUUUUCACCAUCUGUUCCCUAGACCAUUACCGUCUUUGGUUAGACGUUAGCUAGGUCAGAAACCGAGUGUUCACUGUUAACAGACAACUAUAUCACAGAAUUGUAAUGAUGUUGUCAGAAAUGAACUGAUGCAACCUAGAUACUGUGAGUUGUAUUAUAUCAAAUCUGGGACAGCCAACCAUUUGGAUAAUAGUUUGGAUGACACAGCAGCCAUGCCAACGCCCACUAUUGAAGAAUUUAAUAGCAGACUUAGAUAGUCUAUUACAGAAAAUUAAUCCAUUCACCAUACCUUUUGAGUUAUUAAUCAAUAUAUAUAUAUUUAACAAAACACACACUAUAUACACGUUAUAUCUAUUAAAAAAAAUCCUAUUUUAUUUAAA